ACCUGUCAUCAAACCUUUGACUGUGGGUCAAAACUAUCAGGAGACAGAGGAAGAAGGGGGAGGAAGCAGCAGCAGAGCUGGAACUCAGAGCAAAGAGCUGAGCUGAGCUGAGCUGAACAGGACACAUGAGAGCUGGACCAGCAAGGAGAAAAACAAUGACAGGAGAUUUUCAGGGAGCAGGAGGUGAGCUCACAACACCAGGAGCUGGGUUCCAGGUCAAGCAGGAUGAGACCUGGGCUCAUUUGGUCUGCUGCUUCCGGGGUCAUGACUUCCUGAAUGAGCCACCAGGUUGCUAGCAUGAUGCCAACCGAACUUCCUUGGGCAGAUGACCCCACCAAUGUGUCCUGGAGCUCUGCUUCCCCAGAGCCCUGCCCCACUAUAGAAAGAGAGAGGCAGGCUGGGAAUAUAUGACUUGUCAAAGCCCAUGUUCAGCGGGGAAGCAAUUACAGAAGCCAGACCC